rnacentral:rRNA from 1 species
GGGUUGUGAGGUUAAGCGACUAAGCGUACACGGUGGAUGCCCUGGCAGUCAGAGGCGAUGAAGGACGUGCUAAUCUGCGAUAAGCGUCGGUAAGGUGAUAUGAACCGUUAUAACCGGCGAUUUCCGAAUGGGGAAACCCAGUGUGUUUCGACACACUAUCAUUAACUGAAUCCAUAGGUUAAUGAGGCGAACCGGGGGAACUGAAACAUCUAAGUACCCCGAGGAAAAGAAAUCAACCGAGAUUCCCCCAGUAGCGGCGAGCGAACGGGGAGCAGCCCAGAGCCUGAAUCAGUGUGUGUGUUAGUGGAAGCGUCUGGAAAGGCGCGCGAUACAGGGUGACAGCCCCGUACACAAAAAUGCACAUGCUGUGAGCUCGAUGAGUAGGGCGGGACACGUGGUAUCCUGUCUGAAUAUGGGGGGACCAUCCUCCAAGGCUAAAUACUCCUGACUGACCGAUAGUGAACCAGUACCGUGAGGGAAAGGCGAAAAGAACCCCGGCGAGGGGAGUGAAAAAGAACCUGAAACCGUGUACGUACAAGCAGUGGGAGCACGCUUAGGCGUGUGACUGCGUACCUUUUGUAUAAUGGGUCAGCGACUUAUAUUCUGUAGCAAGGUUAACCGAAUAGGGGAGCCGAAGGGAAACCGAGUCUUAACUGGGCGUUAAGUUGCAGGGUAUAGACCCGAAACCCGGUGAUCUAGCCAUGGGCAGGUUGAAGGUUGGGUAACACUAACUGGAGGACCGAACCGACUAAUGUUGAAAAAUUAGCGGAUGACUUGUGGCUGGGGGUGAAAGGCCAAUCAAACCGGGAGAUAGCUGGUUCUCCCCGAAAGCUAUUUAGGUAGCGCCUCGUGAAUUCAUCUCCGGGGGUAGAGCACUGUUUCGGCAAGGGGGUCAUCCCGACUUACCAACCCGAUGCAAACUGCGAAUACCGGAGAAUGUUAUCACGGGAGACACACGGCGGGUGCUAACGUCCGUCGUGAAGAGGGAAACAACCCAGACCGCCAGCUAAGGUCCCAAAGUCAUGGUUAAGUGGGAAACGAUGUGGGAAGGCCCAGACAGCCAGGAUGUUGGCUUAGAAGCAGCCAUCAUUUAAAGAAAGCGUAAUAGCUCACUGGUCGAGUCGGCCUGCGCGGAAGAUGUAACGGGGCUAAACCAUGCACCGAAGCUGCGGCAGCGACGCUUAUGCGUUGUUGGGUAGGGGAGCGUUCUGUAAGCCUGUGAAGGUGUGCUGUGAGGCAUGCUGGAGGUAUCAGAAGUGCGAAUGCUGACAUAAGUAACGAUAAAGCGGGUGAAAAGCCCGCUCGCCGGAAGACCAAGGGUUCCUGUCCAACGUUAAUCGGGGCAGGGUGAGUCGACCCCUAAGGCGAGGCCGAAAGGCGUAGUCGAUGGGAAACAGGUUAAUAUUCCUGUACUUGGUGUUACUGCGAAGGGGGGACGGAGAAGGCUAUGUUGGCCGGGCGACGGUUGUCCCGGUUUAAGCGUGUAGGCUGGUUUUCCAGGCAAAUCCGGAAAAUCAAGGCUGAGGCGUGAUGACGAGGCACUACGGUGCUGAAGCAACAAAUGCCCUGCUUCCAGGAAAAGCCUCUAAGCAUCAGGUAACAUCAAAUCGUACCCCAAACCGACACAGGUGGUCAGGUAGAGAAUACCAAGGCGCUUGAGAGAACUCGGGUGAAGGAACUAGGCAAAAUGGUGCCGUAACUUCGGGAGAAGGCACGCUGAUAUGUAGGUGAAGCGACUUGCUCGUGGAGCUGAAAUCAGUCGAAGAUACCAGCUGGCUGCAACUGUUUAUUAAAAACACAGCACUGUGCAAACACGAAAGUGGACGUAUACGGUGUGACGCCUGCCCGGUGCCGGAAGGUUAAUUGAUGGGGUUAGCCGCAAGGCGAAGCUCUUGAUCGAAGCCCCGGUAAACGGCGGCCGUAACUAUAACGGUCCUAAGGUAGCGAAAUUCCUUGUCGGGUAAGUUCCGACCUGCACGAAUGGCGUAAUGAUGGCCAGGCUGUCUCCACCCGAGACUCAGUGAAAUUGAACUCGCUGUGAAGAUGCAGUGUACCCGCGGCAAGACGGAAAGACCCCGUGAACCUUUACUAUAGCUUGACACUGAACAUUGAGCCUUGAUGUGUAGGAUAGGUGGGAGGCUUUGAAGUGUGGACGCCAGUCUGCAUGGAGCCGACCUUGAAAUACCACCCUUUAAUGUUUGAUGUUCUAACGUUGACCCGUAAUCCGGGUUGCGGACAGUGUCUGGUGGGUAGUUUGACUGGGGCGGUCUCCUCCUAAAGAGUAACGGAGGAGCACGAAGGUUGGCUAAUCCUGGUCGGACAUCAGGAGGUUAGUGCAAUGGCAUAAGCCAGCUUGACUGCGAGCGUGACGGCGCGAGCAGGUGCGAAAGCAGGUCAUAGUGAUCCGGUGGUUCUGAAUGGAAGGGCCAUCGCUCAACGGAUAAAAGGUACUCCGGGGAUAACAGGCUGAUACCGCCCAAGAGUUCAUAUCGACGGCGGUGUUUGGCACCUCGAUGUCGGCUCAUCACAUCCUGGGGCUGAAGUAGGUCCCAAGGGUAUGGCUGUUCGCCAUUUAAAGUGGUACGCGAGCUGGGUUUAGAACGUCGUGAGACAGUUCGGUCCCUAUCUGCCGUGGGCGCUGGAGAACUGAGGGGGGCUGCUCCUAGUACGAGAGGACCGGAGUGGACGCAUCACUGGUGUUCGGGUUGUCAUGCCAAUGGCACUGCCCGGUAGCUAAAUGCGGAAGAGAUAAGUGCUGAAAGCAUCUAAGCACGAAACUUGCCCCGAGAUGAGUUCUCCCUGACCCUUUAAGGGUCCUGAAGGAACGUUGAAGACGACGACGUUGAUAGGCCGGGUGUGUAAGCGCAGCGAUGCGUUGAGCUAACCGGUACUAAUGAACCGUGAGGCUUAACCUUACAACGCCGAAG